rnacentral:rRNA from 1 species
CAGUAGCCGCGGGAACACGUAGGGUGCAAGCGUUAAUCGGAAUUACUGGGCGUAAAGCGUGCGUAGGCGGCUUUUUAAGUCGGAUGUGAAAUCCCUGAGCUUAACUUAGGAAUUGCAUUCGAUACUGGGAAGCUAGAGUAUGGGAGAGGAUGGUAGAAUUCCAGGUGUAGCGGUGAAAUGCGUAGAGAUCUGGAGGAAUACCGAUGGCGAAGGCAGCCAUCUGGCCUAAUACUGACGCUGAGGUACGAAAGCAUGGGGAGCAAACAGGAUUAGAUACCCCCGGUAGUCCCUGUCUCUUAUA